AUGGAAUUGAGUUUACCUCAUACACUUCAUCUUUUUAAUAUCUUUCGAGAGUAUGAUGGGAAGGAAAAUUGUGCCAAAGUGUUAGAAGAAGAAUGCAUUAAAAUGUUUGGCACUAAAUCUUUGAAUGAUGAGCAUGAUUGCAAUGUUGUUAGUAUGAACUCUUUGAAUAUCCAUAGUACUAAUGAUGAUUGCACUAGUUAUGAUGAAAAUGUCUCCUAUAAACAUGUCAAUUUUUGUGGAGUGCAUUGGGUUUGCAAGUACACACCAAAUAGGGAAGAUAGAUAUUGCAAGAGGCAUAAGCAUUUAGAAACUAAAUUGUUGCAAGAAAGGCUAGAUGUUUGUGCUGAAAAUUUAAAUUUUCUUAGCCGUACUUGUGAACUUUGCAAUGAACGGGGUCAUUUAACUAUUCGAUACAAAUUGUUUCAUGAUCUAAUCGUGUCCAAAAAUUGUGAUGACUUGAUUUCCCUUGCACAUUAUAAUGAACUUAGUUUGCUUAUGGGCUAUGAAGAAAUGAAACGUAUAACUAACUAUCUUCCAGAAUUUGCCCGUUAUAAACUUCUUAAUUUUGAUCUAGAGGAAAUUUAUAUGUAUUGUGCAGUGAAUUGCAUUGAAAAUCCUUAUAUUUCCAAUUACAUAAAGAAAAGAAAGCAAAUAGAAGAUGAAGAGAACACUAAUGAAAGGGAAGAGACUUCCCAAUAUCCUCCUAUUAUUUCUUAUGAUGAAUCAUGUAACGAGGAGAAGCUUUCUAUUCAACCAAUCUCAUUAAUAAGGAGCUCCAAAAAGAGGAUUGAACCCACACAUGAUGUGAAGAAGAAAAACAAAAGACGGAGAAGCAAAGGUAGAAAGGUAUCUCCCCCAAAUGAUGUUGCUCCAAUUACUCAUCGUGAUGAUGAUAAUUGCUAUACUAUUGGUGCUAUCCAUACUAUUAAUGAUGAGAGUGAUUAUGCUUAUGAUAUGAAAAGGCCCAAGCUUGGGGAUGCUAUGUUUGAUGAAGAUGAUGUUUUUGAGAAUAUAUUUGCUGCAAUUAAUGUUUGUCCCAAGCUUGGAGAUGCUAUGUUUAAUGAAGAUGGUAUUUUUAGCCUCCCAAGUUUUGAUAUGCAUAGUUGUUAUGAUGAUAGCAUGCCUUCUACCUAUGAUGAUUAUAUUGAUGAAAGUGGGUUUGGAAGAGUGUCAACUUUAGGAAGUAAUGAUCCCACUAUUUUGGAGGAUGUUGAAUCUUAUAAUAUUUAUAAAAGUGGAUUUGGAGAGGUCAUGACUUUAUUUAGUGAUGAGUCCACUAUCUUGGAAGAGGUUUCAAUCAAUUAUGAUGAGAACAAAGUUGCUACUUAUGAUGAUUAUUGUGAUGAAACUUAUGCUAUAAAAAGUAGUGAUGAUUAUAUUUAUAAAACUUGUCAUGAUUAUGAUUACCCUUUUUCUGAACAUUACUCUUUUAAUGUGGAAACAAUUUAUAGUAUUCAAGUUUCUUAUGAUACUCCCACUAUUCCGAAUGAGAAGAAUUUUGCUUAUGUGGAGAGUAGUAAAAUUUCUAUGCAAGUAGAUCAUGAAAAGAAUGCUUUAGGUGCUGGUUAUAUUGUUGAAUUCAUUCAUGAUGCUACUGAAAGUUAUUAUGAGGGAGGAACAUAUGCUUGUAGGAAUUGCAAUAAUAUCAAGUUUCCUCUCUAUGUGCUUAAAGUUUUGAAGUUAUGCUUGUUUUGCCUUCCUAUGCUAGUUGAUUAUUGUUCCCAUAAGUUGUUUGCUCACAAAAUCCCUAUGCAUAGGAAGUGGGUUAGAUUUAAAUGUGCUAGUAAUAUUCUUCAUGAUGCUCUCUUCAUGUUUCAAUUCUUAUGUCUUAUGUGA
rnacentral:rRNA from 1 species